UACAGAGGUCUCAAGCGUUGUUCGGAUUCAUUGGGCGUAAAGGGUGUGUAGGUGGCGCCGUAAGUCGGGUGUGAAAUUUCGGAGCUUAACUCCGAAACUGCAUUCGAUACUGCGGUGCUUGAGGACUGGAGAGGAGACUGGAAUUCAUGGUGUAGCAGUGAAAUGCGUAGAGAUCAUGAGGAAGACCAGUGGCGAAGGCGGCACUCUGGGCCGGAACUGACGCUGAGGAGCGAAAGCGUGGGGAGCGAACAGG
rnacentral:rRNA from 1 species